CGGCGGCUGCGGAGCAUGUGAGAGACACGUAUCCUGGAGCCCUUAACUUAAACCUUAGGGAGCUGCCUCUGUUAAGACCGUGGUCUUAUUACGCGGUGCCCACCUGAACUAUUGGUUCACGAGGUUACACCCGUCUCCACGGUUUUGUGGUCGCCGA
rnacentral:other from 1 species